UAAGAGGGGUGUUCCCGGCAUGGUUAGUGAGGGAUUAUAUCGGGUAUAAACCUUGUGAUUUCAUUGGUAAGUCCUGUAUGGCUGGUUAAAUCGCCUAUGGAUGUUCCCGGCCGGGUUUAUAACGAAUAGUUCCGUGGUUUGCAUAAAACAAAUUAAACUAUAUAAAUCCCAUACUUCCUAAAAGGUCCUACAGCCCUAAAAAGGUCCUGCUUAAUAUAUAUAUAUAUAUAUUAAAAGUAUUUUGAAUAAUAAAACACCUAGGAAAAAAUUAGGUAUCAAUUGCUGCCCAUUUUUACCCGGGAAGGAUGAAAAUGUUGUUGGGUAACGACAUGAUAGCCAAUUUUGACUGAAAGAGCCGAUUUGAAAAGAAUUUUGACCAAGCUCUGGUCCCUAAGCUUCCUACAUAUCCCUGCUCUUACAAUAAUCACGCCAUAUGUAGUUCAGGAUCCAUUGACGGAGUAUGCCGAUGAAGAUUUCCAAAGGCGGACGCGAUGUUUAUGUUGAGAAAAGUGGUUGAAAUCUGAUAGGCUGCGGGAACCAGAGUGAGAUCGCUCCUGCUGAGACGGCUCUAGAUAACCGGUUUACCUGCAAAUGAGCAAUACAAGCAUAUAUUGUGCAUAAAUUUAAACGUGAUGCAAGUUCCCAUUGGACUAUGAAUGUUGUCUUCAGACGGGUAGGAUGACGUCCUCAGACCAUGACUUCCAGGGCCAUGAAAUGUAUGAUAAAGGAUUUUCUGGCUAUGAAAUGAUGUUCUCGGGCUAUGAGGAUGAUGCUUCCGAACCAUGAUAUCUUUGAAUAAUGAUAUGCAAAAGAUAAAAUGGGUCCUCAUGCCAUGGCAUGGCAUUCUCGGGCUAUGAAAAUGGUGCCUCCGAACAAUGAUGCCUUUGGACGAUUUGGCGAUCUUUCAUCCCUUAAAAUGCAGAAGGUGGCGAUCUUUCAGCCGAUGCAAGACAUAAAUAAAAGGUGGCGAUAUUUCAUCCAUGCAAGAAAAAAUAAAGUGGCGAUAUUUCAUCCAUGCAGGAGGGAGACAGAGAUUAGUCUCAGAAGGCAGAAAGGUAGCCUUGUGAAAUGCAGAGAGAUGCAGAUGAAGGUAGAGCUUAACCUCAGAAGGCAGAAACGUUGCCUUAUGCAAUGCAAAGAUAUGCAGAUGGAGACAAUGCUUAGUCUCGAAAGUUAGAAAAGUAGCCUUAUGCAAUACAAAGAUAUGCAGACGGAGAAAAUGCUUAGUCUCGGAAGGCAGAAAAGUAGCCUUAAGCUAUGCAAAGAUAUGCAGAAGCCUUAUGCAAUGCAAAGAUAUGCAGAUGGAGACAAUGCUUAGUCUCGAAAGUUAGAAAAGUAGCCUUAUGCAAUGUAGAGAUAUGCAGAUGGAGACAAUACUUAGUCUCGGAAGGCAAAAAAGUAGCCUUAUGCAACAAAGAUAUGCAGACGGAGAAAAUGCUUAGUCUCGGAAGGCAGAAAAGUAGCCUUAAGCUAUGCAAAGAUAUGCAGAUGGAGACAAUGCUUAGUCUAGGAAGGCAGAAAAGUAGCCUUAUGCAAUGUAGAGAUAUGCAGAUGGAGACAAUACUUAGUCUCGGAAGGCAAAAAAGUAGCCUUAUGCAGAAAAUGCAGAUGGAGAUAGUGCUUAGUCUCGAAAGGCAUAAUGGUAGCAUUAUGCUGAAAAUAGAGAAGGAGACACUGCUUAGUUUCGAAAGGCAGAAAGGUAGCCUUAUGCAGAAAAUGCAUAUGGAUACAGUGCUUAGUCUCGAAAGGCGUACAGGUAGCCAUAUACAAUACAGGUAAUAAAAGGCGAAUAUUAAUGAAAUCUCUUAGCUGGUAGAUGAUAGCUGACAGCUGGAUGCAUCAUUGUGGCUGCUAGGGAUGUUGUGUACGGAUAACAAUUGUGAACAUAUGAUGACUAUGAGAAGUUGCAUUUCCAGAGAAAGUAUGAGUUCAUAAAUAUAUCUAAUGUUUUGCAAUUUUGAGAAACUGUAUCCCAAGAAAAAUUGUGAAUUUUGUAAAUAAAAAAAAAGGAAAGGUCAGUUCGUCCUCUCGUGGCCCUUGCUUGUCCUGCUCGACGUGGUGUGUCAUUGGGAUAGUGUUGCCGAACAAAAUAAAUUUUGAUAACGGACAUGCAUGAUUUAGUAAAAUGUAACGUAAAUAUAUUAUCGAAAAUAGUUUUCUUUUAGAUGAAGUGACAACUGCGAUACGGUUCAAGAUAUUGUAACCUCUCUUGUUCCGGAAUUUUGAGGGUCCUCCUCAAAAUUCUGCCCCAGUUUACUGGGCUGGUGCCUCUGACGAUUGCGUGCGAUGAACGGCUGAAAAUCAACUUCAGAAUUUUGAGAGUCCUCCUUAAAAUUCUGCACCAGUUCUAAUGGCAGGGGGAAAUGGAAAUAUUUAUUGAAUUGUGACCAAAUCCAUAGGGAUACCUACGUAUCCCCUCUUAAACGGGAAUCAGGUCAGGCGUAUUUCAAAUUGCAUCAUAAAGGAAAUCAUAAAUGGUUACACAUAGUAUCGCUUGAGUUCAUCUGAAUUGAUUGGUUUUGGCAAAAUUUCUCCGUCCAUUUCUGCAAGUAUGAGGGCUCCUCCGGUUAGAACCUGAUGAACCAUGUACAGACCUUUCCAGUUGGGAGAGAAUUUCCAUUUGGCUUCAUCUUGAUGCGAUAAUAUUUUCUUCAACACCAGCUGCCCCGAUGUAAACUUCCUUGGCUUGACUCUUUUGUUGAAAGCUAUGGACAUUCUAUUCUGAUACAAUUUAUCAUGGCAAACUGCAUUCAUUCUCUUCCCAUCUAUAAGAUCCAACUGCUCGUAACGACUCUUUACCCAUUCUGCGUCAUCUAACUCUGCUUCUUGUAUGAUUCUCAAGGAAGGAAUUUCUACCUCGGUAGGAAUGACCGCCUCUAUGCCAUAAACCAGCAUAUAGGGAGUUGCCCCGGUCGAUGUGCAGAUUGUGGUGCAGUAUCCCAAUAGAGCAAAAGAUAACUUCUCAUUUCACUACUUAUGCUUCUAUAUCAUCUUCCUUAAUAUCUUCUUGAUAUUUUUGUUGGCUUCUUCCACAGCUCCAUUCAUAUGAGGUUUGUAGGUUGUAGAGUUCUUGUGUUUAAUCUUGAAUGCUUCACACAUUGAUUUCAUCAAGUCACUAUUGAGAUUGCAACCAUUAUCAAUAAUGAUUAAUUCUAGAAUUUUGAACCAACAAACAAUACGAUCGCGGACGAAAUCUGCCACAACUUUUCUUGGUUACUACUUUAUAUGAUGUUGCUUCGACCUAUAUGGUGAACUAAUCAAUUGCCACUAGAAUGAACAUGUGCCCGUUUGAUGCGGCAGGCUCGAUAAGUCUGAUAACAUCCAUUCCCCAAGCGGUGAAUGGCCAUGGCGAGCUUGUUGCGGUAAGCUCAUUUGGAGGCACCUUUAUCAUAUUUGCAUGUAUCUGAAAACGAUGGCAUUUACGAACAUACUGGAUGCAGUCGAUUUCCAUAGUCAUCCAAAAAUAUCCUGCCCUGAGUAUCUUCUUGAUAAGACAAAACCAUUCAUAUGCGGACCGCAGGUCCUUGCAUGAACCUAUUCUAAUAACUUGGAUGCUUCCUUUGCUUUGACACACCUUAGUAAUCCCAAAUCGGGAGUUCUCCUGUACAAGAUUCCUCCGCUGUGAGAAAUUGUUAGACAACCGCCGAAGGGUGCGCUUCUGAGUAGCGUUUGCAAGUUCUGGAUAUUCUCCUGUUGUCAAGUACUCCUUGAUGUCAUGGAACCAUGGUUUUCCAUCUGCUUCUUCCUCGACAUGCGCACAAUAAGCUAGCUGAUUAUAAAUCUUUACCAGGAUGGGAUCAAUGAAUUUCAUAUCUAGAGGUUGGAUCAUGGAUGAUAGAGUAGCCAAUGCAUCAGCGAACUCAUUCUGCACUAUGGAGACAUGCUGUAAUUCUGUCUUUGCGAAUCUCUUCCUUAGCUCCUGUAUGUGAUGUAGAUAAGGAAGUAUUUUACAGUUCUUGGUUGCCCACUCUUCUCGAACCUGAUGAAUGAGCAAGUUUGAAUCCCCAAGCACUAUAAACUCUUUAAUGUUCAUGUCAAUGGCCAUCUUGAGCCCUACGAUGCAGGCUUUGUAUUCGACCAUAUUGUUGGUGCAUGAGAACCUGAGUUUGGCAGAUACCGGGUAAUGCUGGUUGGUUUUUUAUACUAGAAUUGCUCCUAUGCCAACUCCUUAUAAAUUUGCGGCUCCGUCAAAAAACAUUCUCCGGCCAUCAUACGAUUCUGCAAUAUCCUCUCCUAUGAAAGAUACCUCUUCGUCGGGAAAAUACGUCUUUAGAGGCUCAUAUUUUCCGUCCACGGGAUUCUCACCGAGAUGAUCCUCCAACGCUUGUCCUUUAAUUGCCUUCUGAGUCACAUAAACAAUGUCGAAUUCACUUAGCAGGAUUUUCCAUUUGGCGAGAUUUCCAAUGGGCAUGGGUUUCUGGAAGAUAUACUUCAGUGGAUCCAUUCUUGAUAUGAGAUAGGUAGGGUAGGCACAGAAAUAAUGCCUCAAUUUCUGAGCUACCCAAGUUAGAUCACAACAGGUGCGUUAUAAUAGAGAAUACUAGGCCUCGUACGGGGUGAACUUCUUGCAGAGAUAGUAGAUGGCUUAUUCUUUUCUCCCUGUUUCAUCGUGUUGUCCCAUAACACAACCGAAUGCUCCAUCCAAUACUGCAAGAUAGAGCAAUAGAGGUCUACCUGGUUCAGGCGGAACAAAAACUGGCGGCAUUGACAGGUACUCCUUGAUUCUGUCAAAGGCUUUCUAACAAUCAUCAGUCCAUUUGGUAUCAGUGUCCUUAUUCAACAUUUUAAAGAUGGGUUCACUAAUGACAGUUGACUGAGCUAUUAAUCAGUUGAUAUAAUUGAGUCUCCCCAAGAAGCUCAUCACGUCCUUCUUGUUCUUUAGCGGUGGCAAUUCUUGAAUAGACUUAACCUUUGAUGGAUCUAAUUCUUCCCUCGACGACUGUCACACCUCCUAUUACCUACACCAACAAGGGCGUACGGGGAGUUUUUCCAAUUAAAGGACAAUCGAAAUGGGAUUUGUUUAUUAAGAGAUUAAGAGUCACCACUUGGGAGAUUUAUGGUGUCCAAGUCACCGGUUGAAUCCCGAAUCGAGAAAAAUUUGACUCUGUUUAACAGUCCGCGAACCAGAAAUCUGGGUAAGGAAUUCUGUUAACCCGGGAGAAGGUGUUAGACAUUCCCUAGUUCCGUGGUUCUAGCAUAGUCGCUCAACUAUUAUAUUUGUCUUAAAUUAUCUGAUUUUAACAAUUAUGAACCUAUGUGCAAAUUUUAACUUUAAUCGUUUUUUAUUCAUUUUUAAGGAAAAUUGCAACGUCGUUAAAACAAGUCUUGAACCACGUCACAUAAAUGCAACCAUGAUUUUUGACAUAUUUUAACAUCGUUAAAAUUUAGAUUUAAGUCAACUAAGUAUCGUAAGUAAAUUGCUCCCGGUUGUUCAAUCAUUUGAUAACCAGAGUUUUUUUUAGGGUUCAUACAUGCAUUGAUCCAGUCGAAGAACCUGCUCCAGAGCGACUACUCCGCCUAGCCUAUCUUCCUGCCCGCCCCCGGUUCUCUAUGCUCGGUUCCACAAUCAAUCCCAGAUCCAUCUAUUUGAGGGAGGUCCAAUUCCGCGCUCUUCUAAUUGCUUAGAAGGGUUCAAGAACCCCUUUACAUCUAGGGCUCAUCGACAUAAAUGCGCACCCGAUUUUAGGGAGAUAAUAUUAUUAGAAUACUCACCUAAAGAGACUAACGCGUUAUUAGUUUGGGAAGGCCGUGAAAUUCGCUAAACAGCACGUUCCGAAAUCUAAGUAUUUAACAUAUAGAUUUAACGAGGGCCCCGAAAUCUUUGCAUUUUUAUUGGGCGAGGCUCAUCUCAUUUUUUUCAUUUAAAGGCCAGUCCUAAUGUGACUAUGAUUUUCUAUUUUCGUUUCUCUCUAAUAAAUAAAAGAAAAUCCUUAUUUAUUCACUGUUUAAGAAUUGUUAUAUUUGGGUCCAAGAACUCACGUAAAUUCAUACCCUUUUCCAGUUCGGGCCUUGAACAUACCCAUAUAAAGGAAUCAUAAUCCAUGUAUGCCCAAGAGGCAAACCAAGAGCAAGCCAGGGCCCAGGUCCGUACACACACACAAUUGGGACAGGACAUGGGCCGUCUGUUAAGGUCCGAAGCCCAAGCUGUACGAAAUGGGUUGUUUAGCCCUGCUUGUUAACACCAAACCCAGUCCCAACUCAAAUGGAAAAAAUACUCACUCAGAUUAUUCCAAAUUUUUCAAAAUGUGUUCAACCAUUGUAAUCAAGGAAAAGUAAUAUUCACCUAUUCGAUUUAAUGCAACAAUGAUCACUAGAAUCUUACUUUAAAACUCAUAUUACUUAUUUAUUUAGCUACUGGGAACAUGAUCGUGACAACACAAAGCAACCCAAUUAUUUUUAAGUCGAAUCAAGCUAGGUUACUAAAACGGAAUUACUGAACUUGCUACUGCAAUGGAAAAACAGGAUCAUCAUAUGGAUUUAACUUAUGCUACACUAAAAUAGUAUUAUGGAAAAGUUGAAUUCAAACUCCAAUUUUAUCAGCCUAGUUUUGUUCAAGUUUUUACCUGUUUGAAUGUUUCAUUGCACAUAAGGAUCAUCAGUAAGACUACAUUAAGCUAAGAGGUAUCGAUGCUAAUUACUCACGUAUCCAAUACAACUUGAUAAUUCAAAGUCUAAACCAGGCUAAUUGCUCACAUAUCUAUUUAUUCAUACUUCUAGCUACUCUAACUUAUGAACACAUGUAAUAUGGAAGCAACUGGCAAUUUCAUGAAAGGCUAACUCCAAUUCAACCAAUCUAUUAUAUUGAAGUAAUUAUAGUCAGUCCAAUAAUAGUCCAACAGUCCUUUUACAGUCCAAUUAAUCAAAAUAUAACAACGCAACUAAACAAAAACAUAUGACAAUUAAGCCUAAUUAAACUUCCGUUUCAUUUCAUUUUCACAAACUGGGAGUCUACAUCUCAAUGAACAAAGGAAGCGUACCUGGAAUCAGAACACAAAACGAAGAAGGGUGGAAGUCAGUUGAAGCAGUAGUGAACAACAAAGAUCCACGGCCUAGAAAUAAAUUCAAUCCAGUAAAAUCCAGAAUCAAACAGAAAAUAUAAGAGUGAACUUCAAAUAAGCUUGCAAUCAAACACAAGCACUUCAGAAAACACCCAGCAAUCAAAAAACAACUAAGCAGUAACUCAACUAGACCCCAAUCUGACUCCUAAGACCAAAUCCAAGUAGUUUCAGAAAUCCAACUGUCAAAUACUGAACUAAAAGAGGUAAACUAACACUAAACUCGACUUUGGAUUGCAAAAAUCCAAUGGAACAGUGCUCUCAAUAUCUUUUGAUCUCUAAACUCUCUUCUCACUUUCAGAUUAUAUUUUUCUCAAAACUCAAUGUGUUUUUCAAGCUCUCUUAAUGUUCUUCUCUUCCUUUUUCUCUAUUUUCAGAAUGUAUUCUUUGUGUUCUCUCACCUCUUUCUCAAUGUCUCUUCCUUUUUUGGACUCUCUCCCCCUUUUUCUCUAUCAGAAUGUUCUCCAUUUAAAGAUCAAGUUUGCUCCUUUUUCUAAUUUCCAGCAUAAAAGUGCUAAGCUAACCAACCAAUCCACUUUUUCUUUUUGAAAAAAACCAUUCCACUUAACUCAAUUAGUGUAUUUCUAACCCUACGAUGUGCUAGCAGCUUCUUAAGUAGGUGAGAUACACCUUUUUAUUAAACAAAUCUCAGGCUAAUUCAACCAAAAAGGGUUCAGGUCUAUAUAAUCAAUCCAAAUCCCUUUUAAUAUGAUCUAACACAUCAAAAAUAGAUCUGGUUUAACAGAAUUACACACAAAUUCACCAACGAUUCAAGUGUUCUGUUUUUAAUGAUUGAGCAAAUCAUAUCAAUCAACAAAAACUCAGGACAAAUACCGUUUGGGAUUCUUUCAUGCACAAUAAAAGUAAACAAUAAGAGAAAAAGCACGGGGAUGAACCUGAAUGCGAACCAUUUCAAUUUAGCAUGUUUAGAUGUGAAUACAAGCAGAGGAAAAACUUAACAGUGAACUCCAAAAGACCAGAAAUAGCUAUCAAAAUCCCUAAUUAAAUUGGAACCGCUACGGAAUCCACAAUGAACAGCAAUGAUGACAAACUCGAACCAUGAAACUUGAAUCGACAAAAAUCUCAAACACAAAUCGGAACAGGAAAUCUAUCAACGAGACUCGAUCUUGACAGGGAUUCGUAACCUCGCAGCGAAACUCAAACAAACUCAACAAACAACUUCGACAUACGACUCGACGACAACCUCCUCCCAAAUAUGAAAACACUCAAACCACAAAUAUUUUAUUCACAAUGUAACUUCAAAUUCACGUCAUCAAAACCAUAAAAUUAAAAGGAGAUAGCAAUUAACAGUACCGAGGACUUCAUAAACAAACCAUCGUAAAUAAACAAAAAUAGAACAUGUAAAUGAAUGAAACAAAGCUCAGACCUUGAACCGAAAAUAGAGAAUAAUGAUCUCAAAGCGAACCUCGACGGAACCUCAUCAGAUCGGUGUCCUGACUCUCAAAUGGAGACGUCGUCUCGAAUUUACUAAAAAAUGAGGACCUCGAACACAAAUUCGACCAGAUUUGGGUAGCGAUUUCGAGCUGGUUCCACGUUAAUUUGGUGUAGCUUCAGAGAGUUUCGAAGAGGACGAAGUUAGGGGACUGGGUUCGUGUUCUCUGUUAAAGAUGAUGUUGCUUCAUCUUGGGUGAAUAUAGGGUUGUUUGGCGUGAAGUGAAGGAGAGAACAGGGGUCAUUCGGGUUCAAGGGUGGGCUGUCCGCGACGUGAAGAUGGCCAGCGGGGAGGGGGUUGGUCGAAGAAGAUAGAGACGACGCGGGGUCCGUGGGGGAUCUUUAGAUUUAGGGUUUGUUUUGUUUUGUUUUGUUUUGCUAAUAGGUGGGGC
rnacentral:lncRNA from 1 species